AUUGAACGCUGGCGGCAUGCUUUACACAUGCAAGUCGAACGGUAACAGCACUUCGGUGGCUGACGAGUGGCGAACGGGUGAGUAAUACAUCGGAACGUGCCUAGUAGUGGGGGAUAACUACUCGAAAGAGUAGCUAAUACCGCAUGAGAUCUAAGGAUGGAAGCAGGGGACCUUCGGGCCUUGCGCUACUAGAGCGGCUGAUGGCAGAUUAGGUAGUUGGUGGGAUAAAAGCUUACCAAGCCGACGAUCUGUAGCUGGUCUGAGAGGACGACCAGCCACACUGGGACUGAGACACGGCCCAGACUCCUACGGGAGGCAGCAGUGGGGAAUUUUGGACAAUGGGCGCAAGCCUGAUCCAGCAAUGCCGCGUGCAGGAUGAAGGCCUUCGGGUUGUAAACUGCUUUUGUACGGAACGAAAAGCCCUCUUCUAAUACAGGAGGGUCAUGACGGUACCGUAAGAAUAAGCACCGGCUAACUACGUG
rnacentral:rRNA from 1 species